GAUGUUAAGUAUUGCUCUUCUUCUCUUGCUAUAGACUCAUCAGACGAGUCCGAGAUGACAUUAACCAGCUUCUUGGAGGAGGCUAUAUUACCAUGAUCCGAAGAAGGGGAAUUACGGAGCUGAAAUGAAAUGGACAUGUGGGUAGGUGCAGAGUCCGAGGUAAUGCUCCGUGAAAGUGCAUACUCACUGCCCGUGGAAUGAGAUGCAGCUCUAUCAGCUUCCAAAAUUAUCUUCCAGGUUUUCUU
rnacentral:lncRNA from 1 species